AAAAUAAUUUGUUUCAACAUUCUACGUCUAUGUCAAUUAAAAUAAAUUUAAUGCAUUUCUCAAGCCCUCCACCUUCAUUUCUACUGGAAAAACCCAAAUGCAAAUGAGACGUCUGGUUCUAUGCACAGAUGGUCUGUGCAUUAUUUGUGUCUGUCAAAUCAAGCUAAUGUGAAACCUCAUGUCAUAGAGUCUGCGUGUCCUUUGUUUCUUUGCUAGGGAUUAUAUAUGAUGAAAAGAAAUGACCAGGAUAUGAAGAAAAUAUUUUCUGAAGUCACACUGAUUUGUGUUUUGCUUGUAAACCUAAUGGAAAUCAUCACAUUAGAAAACUCAGCAAAAGAACAGACACUGAGCACUAAGAUACACAAAAAAUAUGUAAAGAAAGGAAACAAUACUACGCCAUUUUUCUGAGGUAAGAAGCGGUUCAACCAGACUUUUGUCAUUGUUGUUGGUUUGAAGGAAAUAUUUCCCUGAGAUGUUUACACAUGUCCUUUGCAGGCUUCCCUCUGCCACUAUAUUCGGACCAAUUCAUUGGAGCUCCUAAUCAGCCCAAGGUCCCAGAAAUAAGAGCAACCCUACAGCUAACCACUCUGUCUACUGUACUGUAUUUAAGGAUAUAACUGAGCCUCUCCUGGCUAUAUCCACUUGGCCUGUUCUCGGCUUAACUGAGCUAACUGGCCAUAGGCUUGAUUGAACUCGAGAAAUGACAUUUUGGAAAGAAAAUGUGACUUUUAUUGAGGAUUCUUAUUAAGUAUCUAGCUGUAUGUGGGUGUUUCCAGAUCACUGAAGACUGUGUCAUUCUGCCUGCCUUCCUGUGGCUCCUAAUCGAGGUAUUCCAUGUGUGUAGAUAAAGGAUGGUAAAGGGACUUGACCCUUUGGCAGUUGUAUCAUGGCCUUUCAGAAUCCAGGGGCCUGUCCUUUGGCUUAUCUAAGCAUCAGAAUCUCAUUAAGCCUCCAUGUGUGAGUGAGACCAGCUCUCUUGACCCAGAUACUUUCAAGUUGUGUCAAAGAAUGUACAUGCUAGCCCAUCGUUGAAAUAUCAGCAUCACAGGACACCCAGAGACACCACACAAAGGAAGCAGAAGAAUUUGAAGAAACAAAUUACAUCCAUCCAGAAACUGGUCCAUCGUUGGCAUCUAGAUAGAGGUAGAAAAUAAAAUAAUGAUGUGGAGACCA
rnacentral:lncRNA from 13 species